rnacentral:rRNA from 1 species
GAUGAACGCUGGCGGCGUGCCUAACACAUGCAAGUCGAACGAGAUGCGUAUCGGAAAGCUUCGGCCGGAAGAUACGUUAUCUAGUGGCGGACGGGUGAGUAACACGUGGGUAACCUGCCUUAUGGAGGGGGAUAACAGAGAGAAAUCACUGCUAAUACCGCAUAAGCACACAUUGCUGCAUGGCAGAGUGUGAAAAGAUUUAUCGCCAUAAGAUGGACCCGCGUCUGAUUAGCCAGUUGGCAGGGUAAAAGCCUACCAAAGCAACGAUCAGUAGCCGAUCUGAGAGGAUGACCGGCCACAUUGGGACUGAGACACGGCCCAAACUCCUACGGGAGGCAGCAGUGGGGAAUAUUGCACAAUGGGGGAAACCCUGAUGCAGCGACGCCGCGUGAGUGAAGAAGUAUUUCGGUAUGUAAAGCUCUAUCAGCAGGGAAGAUAAUGACAGUACCUGACUAAGAAGCCCCGGCUAACUACGUGCCAGCAGCCGCGGUAAUACGUAGGGGGCAAGCGUUAUCCGGAUUUACUGGGUGUAAAGGGAGCGUAGACGGAGUGGCAAGUCUGAAGUGAAAACCCUGGGCUUAACCUGGGGACUGCUUUGGAAACUGUUAAUCUAGAGUGUUGGAGAGGUAAGUGGAAUUCCUGGUGUAGCGGUGAAAUGCGUAGAUAUCAGGAAGAACACCGGAGGCGAAGGCGGCUUACUGGACAAUAACUGACGUUGAGGCUCGAAAGCGUGGGGAUCAAACAGG